rnacentral:rRNA from 1 species
UACGAAGGGGGCUAGCGUUGCUCGGAAUCACUGGGCGUAAAGUGCACGUAGGCGGCUUUCUAAGUCAGGGGUGAAAUCCUGGAGCUCAACUCCAGAACUGCCUUUGAUACUGGAGAGCUUGAGUCCGGGAGAGGUGAGUGGAACUCCGAGUGUAGAGGUGAAAUUCGUAGAUAUUCGGAAGAACACCAGUGGCGAAGGCGGCUCACUGGCCCGGUACUGACGCUGAGGUGCGAAAGCGUGGGGAGCAAACAGGGAU